rnacentral:rRNA from 1 species
AUUCCGAUAACGAACGAGACUCUGGCUUGCUAAAUAGUCGCGCCGGCCGCCGCGCCGGGCGCUGACUUCUUAGAGGGACAAGUGGCGUUCAGCCACGCGAGAUUGAGCAAUAACAGGUCUGUGAUGCCCUUAGAUGUCCGGGGCCGCACGCGCGCUACACUGAAGGGGUCAGCGGGUCCCGUCCCUUGGCCGGAAGGUCUGGGCAAUCCGUUGAACCCCCUUCGUGCUUGGGAUAGGGAGUUGCAAUUGUCUCCCUUGAACGAGGAAUUCCCAGUAAGCGCGAGUCAUCAGCUCGCGUUGAUUACGUCCCUGCCCUUUGUACACACCGCCCGUCGCUACUACCGAUUGAAUGGUUUAGUGAGAUCCUCGGACGGGCCGCGGCGGGGCGCCCCCGGCGCCUCGCUCGUGCGCCCGGAAGACGAUCGAACUUGAUCAUUUAGAGGAAGUAAAAGUCGUAACAAGGUUUCCGUAGGU